GGAGGAAAAGAAACCAACAGGGAUUGCCUUAGUAGCGGCGAGUGAAGCGGCAAAAGCUCAAAUUUGAAAUCUGGCUCUUUCAGAGUCCGAGUUGUAAUUUGAAGAAGGUAUCUUUGGGUCUGGCUCUUGUCUAUGUUUCUUGGAACAGAACGUCACAGAGGGUGAGAAUCCCGUGCGAUGAGAUGAUCCAGGCCUAUGUAAAGUUCCUUCGAAGAGUCGAGUUGUUUGGGAAUGCAGCUCUAAGUGGGUGGUAAAUUCCAUCUAAAGCUAAAUAUUGGCGAGAGACCGAUAGCGAACAAGUACAGUGAUGGAAAGAUGAAAAGAACUUUGAAAAGAGAGUGAAAAAGUACGUGAAAUUGUUGAAAGGGAAGGGCUUGAGAUCAGACUUGGUAUUUUGUAUGUUACUUCUUCGGGGGUGGCCUCUACAGUUUAUCGGGCCAGCAUCAGUUUGGGCGGUAGGAGAAUUGCGUUGGAAUGUGGCACGGCUUCGGUUGUGUGUUAUAGCCUUCGUCGAUACUGCCAGCCUAGACUGAGGACUGCGGUUUAUACCUAGGAUGUUGGCAUAAUGAUCUUAAGUC
rnacentral:rRNA from 1 species